CAGCAGCCGCGGUAAUACGUAGGUGGCAAGCGUUGUCCGGAAUUAUUGGGCGUAAAGGGCUCGCAGGCGGUUUCUUAAGUCUGAUGUGAAAGCCCCCGGCUCAACCGGGGAGGGUCAUUGGAAACUGGGAAACUUGAGUGCAGAAGAGGAGAGUGGAAUUCCACGUGUAGCGGUGAAAUGCGUAGAGAUGUGGAGGAACACCAGUGGCGAAGGCAACUCUCUGGUCUGUAACUGACGCUGAGGAGCGAAAGCGUGGGGAGCGAACAGGAUUAGAUACCCGCGUAGUCCCUGUCUCUUAUAC
rnacentral:rRNA from 1 species